CGGACGGGUGGGUAAUGUAUGGGGAUCUGCCUGAUGGCGGGGGGAUAACUACUGGAAACGGUAGCUAAUACCGCAUAAUGUCUGCGGACCAAAGCGGGGGACCUCCGGGCCUCGCGCCAUCAGAUGAACCCAUAUGGGAUUAGCUUGUAGGUAAGGUAACGGCUUACCUAGGCGACGAUCCCUAGCUGGUCUGAGAGGAUGAUCAGCCACACUGGGACUGAGACACGGCCCAG
rnacentral:rRNA from 1 species